rnacentral:rRNA from 1 species
GACGAACGCUGGCGGCGUGCCUAAUACAUGCAAGUCGAACGCAGUGGGGACGGGUGAGUAACACGUGGGUAACCUCCCAUCAGAGGGGAUAACACUUGGAAACAGGUGCUAAACCGAUACUGAUGGAUGGACCCGCGGUGCAUUAGCUAGUUGGUGAGGUAACGGCUCCCCAAGGCCCAGAUGCAUAGCCGACCGGGGAUGGGGAUCGGCCAAACUGGGACUGGUACACGGCCCAGACUCCUACGGGAGGCAGCAGUAGGGAAUCUUCGGCAAUGGACGAAAGUCUGACCGAGCAACGCCGCGUGAGUGAAGACGGCCUGCGGGUUGUAAAGCUCUGUUAAUCGGGACGCGGUACCGGAAUAGAAAGCCACGGCUAACUACGUGCCAGCAGCCGCGGUAAUUC